UGGCGGUAUGCUUAACACAUGCAAGUCGAACGAGAAGAUCAGUUAAGAACCUUCGGGGGAAUAAGUGAUUGGAAAGUGGCGAACGGGUGAGUAACGCGUGGGUAACCUGCCCUAUGGAAAGGAAUAGCCUCGGGAAACUGGGAGUAAAGCCUUAUAUUAUGGAGAGAUCGCAUGGUCAUUUCAUGAAAACUCCGGUGCCAUAGGAUGGACCCGCGUCCCAUUAGCUAGUUGGUGAGAUAACAGCCCACCAAGGCGACGAUGGGUAACCGGUCUGAGAGGGCGAACGGUCACACUGGAACUGAGACACGGUCCAGACUCCUACGGGAGGCAGCANUGGGGAAUAUUGCGCAAUGGGGGCAACCCUGACGCAGCAAUACCGCGUGAGUGAAGAAGGUUUUCGGAUCGUAAAGCUCUGUUAUUGGGGAAGAAGAAUGACGGUACCCAAUGAGGAAGUCCCGGCUAACUACGUGCCANCAGCCGCGGUAAUACGUAGGGGACNAGCGUUGUCCGGAAUGACUGGGCGUAAAGGGCGCGUAGGCGGUCUGAUAAGUCAGAUGUGAAAGGUACCGGCUCAACCGGUGACGUGCAUUUGAAACUGUCAGACUUGAGUAUUGGAGAGGCAAGUGGAAUUCCUAGUGUAGCGGUGAAAUGCGUAGAUAUUAGGAGGAACACCAGUGGCGAAGGCGGCUUGCUGGACAAAUACUGACGCUGAGGUGCGAAAGCGUGGGGAGCGAACAGGAUUAGAUACCCUGGUAGUCCACGCCGUAAACGAUGAAUGCUAGGUGUUGGGGAAACUCAGUGCCGCAGUUAACACAAUAAGCAUUCCGCCUGGGGAGUACGACCGCAAGGUUGAAACUCAAAGGAAUUGACGGGGACCCG
rnacentral:rRNA from 1 species